CCUACGGGUGGCAGCAGUGAGGAAUAUUGGUCAAUGGACGCAAGUCUGAACCAUCCAUGCCGCGUGCAGGAAGACGGCUCUAUGAGUUGUAAACUGCUUUUGUACGAGGGUAAACGCAUACGCGUAUCUGUCUGAAAGUAUCGUACGAAUAAGGAUCGGCUCACUCCGUGCCAGCAGCCGCGGUAAUACGGAGGAUUCAAGCGUUAUCCGGGUUUAUUGGGUGUAAAGGGUGCGUAGGCGGUCGGGAAAGUUAGAUGUGAAAACCCGAGGCUCAACUUCGGAAUUGCCGCUGAUACUGUUCGGCUAGAGAGUAGUAGCGGUAGGCGGAAUGUAUGGUGUAGCGGUGAAAUGCUUAGAGAUCAUGCAGAACACCGAUGGCGAAGGCAGCUUACCGGGCUACUACUGACGUUGAGGCACGAAAGCGUGGGGAGCAAACAGGAUUAGAUACCCUGGUAGUG
rnacentral:rRNA from 1 species